rnacentral:piRNA from 1 species
UACCCAGCACCACUGUCCAGAAGCCC